UGUUUGUGUGUCUGUCGACCUGCCAGCAGUUUCAUUUGGUGGUGCCUUCAAAGAAGAGGUAAUUAUGGUUGAGGAUACAGUUAGUCAUGUUGAUGAGGAAGAAGGAUGUAGGUUUGCAGUCAGUGAGCACUGGGACAACAGCCUACUUUCACUACCAACUUUCCAGCCAGUUUUCAGAGGAAGAGCCAGUUGCUGAGGACACCUGUGCAGAUAAAGUGGGAUCUUCAGCUACUAGUAAGGUGGCUCCAUCAUCUUCUCCUCACACCACACCUUACAUGUCUGGUAAUGGUUCAACUGUGUACCUCUGCCUCUAAAAUACUUUGGCUGGCAAAUGGCCUCCAAGGAGUCGGUAAUCAUUGAGAGUUAUGCUGGGCAGUUGUGCUGACCACUCUGCAGUUCCUGAUUUGGAGUAACUUCUGACUAGUGAUGACCUCUGCUGAUAACAUGAAUUCUCCUGUUGGUGGUUACCAUCUUGCAGACCUAAGCCUUGGACUACACCUCACUGACAGGGCUCCAUCAGGCACCUUCAAUGGAGUUACAGCCUGGUGCUAUCUCCUUUCAUAAAUCCCCCGAUGGUUAUUUACUAAGUGCUAUGUUUUCCUGUAACCCAGAUAUAC